rnacentral:rRNA from 1 species
UGGGGAAUAUUGCGCAAUGGGCGAAAGCCUGAUGCAGCCAUGCCGCGUGUGUGAAGAAGGCCUUCGGGUUGUAAAGCACUUUCAAUUGGGAGGAAAGGUUCACGGUUAAUAACCGUGAGUUGUGACGUUACCUUUAGAAGAAGCACCGGCUAAUUCCGUGCCAGCGGCGGCGUUAUUACGGAGGGUGCAAGCGUUAAUCGGAAUUAUUGGGCGUAAAGCGCGCGUAGGUGGUCUGUUAAGUCGGAUGUGAAAGCCCCGGGUUCAACCUGGGAAGUGCAUUCGAUACUGGCAGAUUAGAGUGCGAGAGAGGGAGGUAGAAUUCCAUGUGUAGCGGUGAAAUGCUUAGAUAUGUGGAGGAAUACCAGUGGGGAGGGCGGCCUCUUGGCUCGACAUUGACAUUGUGGUGCGAAAGCGUGGGGAGCAAACAGGAUUAGAUACCCUGGUAGUCCACGCCGUAAACGAUGUCUAUUAGCUGUAGGGGUACUUGAGACCUUUGUAGCGCAGCUAACGCAUUAAGUAGACCGCCUGGGGAGUACGGCCGCAAGAUUA